rnacentral:rRNA from 1 species
AUGUCGAAAGUGGCGUCAUCUGGAGGUGCCACAUCAAGAAGCCCGCCUGCAGCUAACGCAGGCGAACAAGGCCAGCCCCAGGCUCAUGGAUUUGGCAACCGGGAGAUCGGGCCUAUAGAAAAUGUCGAGGUGGUUAAGUCCCCGGCUCCAUCAACUCAAGAGCUCGAAGCACCGCCGCCGCCACCAUCAACUGUUGUCCCAACCUUGCGCCAUGGGCCACUAGUCGAUAUAGUCAUUGGAGAUGACAUGCCCAUGCGAUUGCCUGGCCCCAGCACGUCGGGCAAUACGGUCCUGACCCAGCGGCUUCCCGGCGAGAUGUCUGUCAAUAGUUCAGAAGACGCGCACGUAUUGGAGUGUCGGGAAGUCCAGAAAUCCGGGGUCAACCUUUACCUAAAUGAGGCCCAGCAAGAUGCGGUGAAGUACCUGAAGGAGAAGGCCCACGAGAUGCAGCUUGGCGUUAUACGGAUGACGGGUGCCUUUGCUCCCGGCAUGGAGGUAAUUUUACUUAUGCAUCUGAUCUUUACAUAG